rnacentral:tRNA from 1 species
GGAGAGGUGGCAGAGUGGUCGAUUGCGCACGCUUGGAAAGCGUGUGUACCUCAAGGUACCGUGGGUUCGAAUCCCACCCUCUCCG